rnacentral:rRNA from 1 species
GACGAACGCUGGCGGCGUGCUUAACACAUGCAAGUCGAACGCAGUGGCGAACGGGUGAGUAACGCGUAAUCAACCUGCCCUUCAGAGGGGUACAACAGUUGGAAACGACUGCUAAUACCCCAUACUGUAGCAGGUGAUUCCGUCUGAUUAGCUCGUUGGCGGGGUAACGGCCCACCAAGGCGAUGAUCAGUAGCCGGGCUGAGAGGAUGGACGGCCAAAAUGGGACUGGGACACGGCCCAGAAUCCGAAGGGAGGCAGCAGGGGGGAAGCAUCCGGAAUGGAAGAAAGUCUGACGGAGCAACUCCGCGGGAGUUAAGACGGACUUCGGGUUGUAAAGCUCUGUUAAUCGGGACGCGGUACCGGAAUAGAAAGCCACGGCUAACUACGUGCCAGCAGCCGCGGUAAUAC